GGAGUGAUAUUUUCGCGACAAUGGGCGGACAAGCCCUGAAUGCCAGCAACUGCCGCGUGUGUGAUGAAGGCCUUCGGGUUGUAAAGCUCUUUUGUCCGGGAAGAAAACCUCCUUCUUAAUUCGGUGGGGGGUUGACGGUACCGGAAAAAUAACCCCCGGCUAAUUUCUUGCCCCCCCCCCCGGUAUAUAUAAAGA
rnacentral:rRNA from 1 species